rnacentral:rRNA from 1 species
UACGAAGGGGGCUAGCGUUGCUCGGAAUCACUGGGCGUAAAGGGUGCGUAGGCGGGUUCUUAAGUCAGGGGUGAAAUCCUGGAGCUCAACUCCAGAACUGCCUUUGAUACUGAGGAUCUUGAGUUCGGGAGAGGUGAGUGGAACUGCGAGUGUAGAGGUGAAAUUCGUAGAUAUUCGCAAGAACACCAGUGGCGAAGGCGGCUCACUGGCCCGAUACUGACGCUGAGGCACGAAAGCGUGGGGAGCAAACAGG